rnacentral:rRNA from 1 species
AGCAGCCGCGGUAAUUCCAGCUCCAAUAGCGUAUAUUAAAGUUGUUGCAGUUAAAAAGCUCGUAGUUGAAUUUCGGGAUCAAUGCGUCGGUCGUGCUUUCGGGUACGUACUGGUGUCAUUGGUUUCUCCUUUCUGACGAGCCGUGAUGUCAUUAAUUUGGUGUUACGGGUAGUUAGGACUGUUACUUUGAAAAAAUUAGAGUGUUUAAAGCAGGCAUUCGCUUGAAUACAUUAGCAUGGAAUAAUGAAAUAGGACGUUUGACCCUAUUUUGUUGGUUUCUAGGAUCAACGUAAUGAUUAAUAGGGAUAGUUGGGGGCAUUAGUAUUCAAUUGUCAGAGGUGAAAUUCUUGGAUUUAUUGAAGACUAACUACUGCGAAAGCAUUUGCCAAGGAUGUUUUCAUUAAUCAAGAACGAAAGUUAGGGGAUCGAAGACGAUCAGAUACCGUCGUAGUCUUAACCAUAAACUAUGCCGACUAGGGAUCGGAUGAUGUAAUUUUAAUGACUCAUUCGGCGCCUUACG